rnacentral:rRNA from 1 species
AGCGAACGCUGGCGGCAGGCCUAACACAUGCAAGUCGAACGAACCUUUCGGGGUUAGUGGCGGACGGGUGAGUAACACGUGGGAACGUGCCUUUAGGUUCGGAAUAACUCAGGGAAAGUUGUGCUAAUACCGAAUGUGCCCUUCGGGGGAAAGAUUUAUCGCCGUUAGAGCGGCCCGCGUCUGAUUAGCUAGUUGGUUGAGGUAAUGGCUCACCAAGGCGACGAUCAGUAGCUGGUCUGAGAGGAUGAUCAGCCACAUUGGGACUGAGACACGGCCCAAACUCCUACGGGAGGCAGCAGUGGGGAAUCUUGCGCAAUGGGCGAAAGCCUGACGCAGCCAUGCCGCGUGAAUGAUGAAGGUCUUAGGAUUGUAAAAUUCUUUCACCGGGGACGAUAAUGACGGUACCCGGAGAAGAAGCCCCGGCUAACUUCGUG